GCAACAGCUGUGGAGACUGGCAUUCUCAGUGCAAUCACAGACAAGACAUAGCACUGCAAGUGUCAGUACAAGUUUCUAAUGUGCCUGAAUUGCAGACAGCUUCUAGAAACAAAAGGGCAGUCCAGUCUCUAUGCCCAUUCAGGCCUUGGCCUCA
rnacentral:sRNA from 1 species